GUGGUUAUUUAAUCCCAAGUAUUUUGAUGCGAGAAGGGAUGACACUUACGUAAAGAAGGAAGGGAAGGGAAGAUGACUCUCACAAGCGAUGGAGGAGUAUGAGGAGGAAAUUAUUGGCAGUUAUUGAUUUAUUCUAUUGGCAAGCCCAUGGUUGAUUAGUUGAUCGCAAUUUAUGGGAAAUGAAUGCCACACUAUGGGGAGAAGGAAGAAAAGACGACUCGCAAAUGGUGGAGAGGUAUGAGAAAGAACAUCUAGGCAUGUAAGUGGGCUGCAAGUCUUUACUCAGUGUGUACGAAGAAGGAUGAACCUAGCACCGAUGGAGCUUGCAUGUCAAAAUUAGAGGAAGACAGCAUUAAAUAUCGUUUCAAUGAUCUUAACCAA